AAUAACCACUGGAAGUGCCUUGCAUAAGGCUGAGACCGAAGUAGUAACUUAGGAAUUCCUUGAACCUGAUCCAGUUUGUACUGGCGUAGGAAAGUGGCGUUAUAAACAU
rnacentral:ncRNA from 2 species